UCCCUGGUAGUCCAGAGGUUAGGACUUCGCAUUUUCACCCAAGGGCCUGGGUUCAAUCCCUGGUCAGGGAA
rnacentral:tRNA from 1 species